UUGGUGUUAGAAAUAAGCUAAGAAAAUUAAGAAGACUUUUAUAAUCAAUUAUAGCUUUAAAUGAGUUUUUAUCAGGUUUGAAAUACCGUGAAAAUAUGGUUUGAUUUGAUAAAAUCAACUUUGAAAUGCUUGAGAGAGGUUUCAAAGAACCAAGAAUUGAUUUCCUUUAAAAAUUGCAAAUCUCAUGUGUUUAACUAAAUUAGGGAUAAACCACAUACAAGCAAUAUUGAUAAAAUCCUAUCUCUAGAAUCACUUUAAUUCUUAUUGAAGUUAGAUUUAAAUCAUUCCAAAUUUAUAAUUAGUAAUUUCAUCUUAAGUUUUAGUCAUUUAGUUCAAUUAGUUUAAUUAAUUAUUUGAUUUACUUUAAAUUCCUCAAAUAUUAGUUUUAUUUUCAUUUUCAUUUUCAA
rnacentral:misc_RNA from 1 species